AGAUAUGUGAUGAACAGGUAUAAAGAACUAUUUAGUUGCUUACAGAGAGUUGCCGGUCGGUGCGAGGCAAUAGAACGGAUAGUAUCGAAACUCGCCUCGGAGCAUUGCGGCUGAACUGAAGUAAGCCGUGACGGUAGUUCCGUUAUAACUGCAAGAGAACCAACUAGGGUGGUACCGUGUUAUAGUUUAUGAUGCCCCUGGA
rnacentral:ncRNA from 1 species